rnacentral:lncRNA from 10 species
UCCGUCCUUUCCCAUAUGAAGACACCAGUCAUUGGAUUUAGGGCCCACCCUAAAUCCAGGAUUAUCUCAUCUCUAGAUCUUUAACUCAAUUACAUCUGCCAAGACCUUUUUCUCCAAUAAGGAAGUUAACAGGCUAAACUUGGAAGAGGAAUUUACUAUAUCCUACAGCCUGGUAGGAGGUGAUUGGAUCAUAAGGGCAGAUUUCUCAUGAAUGGUUUAGUACCAUCCCCCUGGUACUGUCCUCAAGAUAGAGAUGGGUGUGCAAAGCACUGGUGGAACAGAGGAGAAGCAAUCAAUACUGCCUGGAAGGGACACAGGAAGCUGAGGAACGCUCCAGAGAAGGAGCCGUGACCCAGGUGGUUACUGAGCUGCCGCCAAGUCUGCAGUGCUAUUGGUCCAGAAAAGGGCAAAGAGCGAACAGAGCCAUCAAACAGCGUGAGGAGCAGGUGAGGGGUAUGAGAGCCCAGUACGAAUAACUGUGGCAAAGCCUGGGCCUCACACCCUCGUGUACACAUCACGCCCCUGCAAGUUCACCUCCACUGUUCAGGGUCCGAUCGCCUGGAGGAUGGGUGUGGCUUUUCACGCAGGGACCCGCAGGCUCAGACCUAUUUCCCCAGCGGCUUCUGUGGACUGCAGAAUCAGGGAAACGUUUCCCCAAGAGGCUUGACAUGGCAUUGUGUCGAACCCCUGGAAAACCUUACCCCCCAAACCUUCCUCCCUCUGCUGCUUGUCUCUAACUGGGCUGUUUCUAAGGCAAUUGUAGCUAUAUAAUUUUCUAUUUUUUCCCCACACUUAAUCAUGCUCCUUGUUAAAAAAACAUUAGAAAAUAAAGAUAUGAAUUAAAAAAACCACCCUACACCCAAAGAUAACCACUGUUAACAUUCUGAGAUAUUCCUUCUAGACUUUUUCUCUCUCUGCAUGCGUGUGUACGUGCGCGCGUGAGUGUAUUUAUAUAUAUGCGUGUAUAUAUAUAAAAUCAGGCACCACUGAUAUUUUGGAUGGG